rnacentral:pre_miRNA from 1 species
UUUUUAGUGUAAGUAUGUCUCACUCAAUAUUUGGGAUAUACUUGUACUGAAA